rnacentral:rRNA from 1 species
GUGGGGAAUCUUGCGCAAUGGGCGAAAGCCUGACGCAGCCAUGCCGCGUGAAUGAUGAAGGUCUUAGGAUUGUAAAAUUCUUUCACCGGGGACGAUAAUGACGGUACCCGGAGAAGAAGCUCCGGCUAACUUCGUGCCAGCAGCCGCGGUAAUACGAAGGGGGCUAGCGUUGCUCGGAAUUACUGGGCGUAAAGGGCGCGUAGGCGGUCUUGUAAGCUUGGCGUGAAAGACCACGGCUCAACCGUGGGAUUGCGUUGAGAACUGCGAGGCUUGAGUGACGGAGAGGGAGCUAGAAUUCCUGGUGUAGGGGUGGAAUCUGUAGAGAUCAGGAAGAAUACCAAUGGCGAAGGCAAGCUCCUGGCCGAUGACUGACGCUGAGGUGCGAAAGUGUGGGGAUCAAACAGGAUUAGAUACCCCGGUAGUCC